CUUGUGUACAGCAUUUUGAUUCCUGCAGGAUUGAGACUGCAGCCAAAUAUUUUGUCAUUACUGAGUCAGGGCUAGGUUCAUUGCUUUGGCUGAAAUCUAAAUGGAGUAAACAGAAGAUGGAUGUAAAUGGGCUACUUGGAGCUCUGGUGGAGAGAACAGCCCCUUUCUUUUGGUGCAAGAACAGAGGCAAUGGGCAUUAAGAUGAUCAGCUUGGUGUGAAUGGAAGCUCUCCAUCCACAGUGUAAAGGUGAUGGCACAAGUGCAUGUGAAGUUUAAGUUGUACGUGGGAUCCCAAGCAUCAGCUCUCACCAGAUUGAAGAGUGAUAGAGAAUCAUAUACACAAUUGUUUCCUACAUUUUUGCUGAAAGAAAAAAAUAAAGGAUUUUGAUUUAAUGUCUUUAACUCGCCCUUGCUCAGACACUCCAAUAGAGUGAUAUGAAGCACCUCUCUUGGGAGAGGCAUUGUUCAAACCCAGUUGCAGCUGAGAAUGCUUAAAAACUGGAGUAUCAGCUGUGUUCUGUGUGGACAACUGCAGUUUAAUGGCUCUGCAAGCAAAUCAGAGAUCAGCUAAAGAGAGAUGAUUGAAAUUAUUACUUUAUGCUGCUUCUCUAACACUUCGUGUUGCUUUGUGGGCAUCAGACUGAAAGAACAGCACUGUGGUGAAAUAUGCUUCUAGAAAUGUUAUUUUCUUAAACAAUUCACUGUAUGGUUGAUAGUAACACUGCAUGAAAGCUUUUAAUUCUUCUUUUGCAAUCAGUAAAAUAUGCUACAGUAAAUUUUCUCAAGGAAGGAGAAGAUUUGUAUUUGCAUGCAGUGUCCUGGUAGCUCUGAGGCCUGUGCUGCUUCAUAGGACAGAAAAACAAAUGUAAACUCAGCUGAGUGUGUCAGGGGCAUAUUUUUAUUGAAAUUUAAUGUUCUAAUGGUCUGAAAUUGGAAACUAAGAAAAUAAAUUUCAGCCUUUGGUUA